rnacentral:rRNA from 1 species
GCGGACGGGUGAGUAACACGUGGAUAACCUACCUAUAAGACUGGGAUAACUUCGGGAAACCGGAGCUAAUACCGGAUAAUAUUUUGAACCGCAUGGUUCAAAAGUGAAAGACGGUCUUGCUGUCACUUAUAGAUGGAUCCGCGCUGCAUUAGCUAGUUGGUAAGGUAACGGCUUACCAAGGCAACGAUGCAUAGCCGACCUGAGAGGGUGAUCGGCCACACUGGAACUGAGACACGGUCCAGACUCCUACGGGAGGCAGCAGUAGGGAAUCUUCCGCAAUGGGCGAAAGCCUGACGGAGCAACGCCGCGUGAGUGAUGAAGGUCUUCGGAUCGUAAAACUCUGUUAUUAGGGAAGAA